CGGACGGGUGAGUAAUGUAUGGGGAUCUGCCUGAUGGCGGGGGGUAACUACUGGAACGGUAGCUAAUACCGCAUAAUGUCUACGGACCAAAGCGGGGGACCUCCGGGCCUCGCGCCAUCAGAUGAACCCAUAUGGGAUUAGCUAGUAGGUAAGGUAACGGCUUACCUAGGCGACGAUCCCUAGCUGGUCUGAGAGGAUGAUCAGCCACACUGGGACUGAGACACGGCCCAG
rnacentral:rRNA from 1 species